UGGGAUAUAGUGUAAUGGAAACACGCCGGGAUUUGACCCCGGAAUUGGCAGUUCAAUUCUGUCUAUCCCUGCCA
rnacentral:tRNA from 1 species